rnacentral:rRNA from 1 species
CCCUUAGAUGUUCUGGGCCGCACACGCGCUACACUGAAGGUGGCAGCGUGUACUCCUGGAUCGAAAGAUUUGGGUAACCCGCGAAUCUCCUUCGUGCUAGGGAUUGAGGUUUGCAAUUAUCCUUCAUGAACGAGGAAUUCCCAGUAAGUGCAAGUCAUAAGCUUGCGCUGACUACGUCCCUGCCCUUUGUACACACCGCCCGUCGCUACUACCGAUUGAAUGAUUUAGUGAGGACUUCGGACUGGGACCGAUGCGGCUUUCGGGCUGCGUCGGUAUUCUGGAAAGAUGUCCAAACUGUAUCAUUUAGAGGAAGUAAAAGUCGUAACA